AGCGAACGCUGGCGGCGUGCCUAACACAUGCAAGUCGAACGCGAAAGGGGGGGCAACCCUCCUAGUAGAGUGGCGCACGGGUGAGUAACGCGUGGGUAAUCUGCCCUCGAGUGGGGAAUAACCUCGCGAAAGCGGGGCUAAUACCGCAUAACAUCUUUCUCUCCUCGGAGAGGAAGCUCAAAGGUGACCUCUGCUUGCAAGUUGCCGCUUGAGGAGGAGCCCGCGUCCCAUUAGCUAGUUGGUAGGGUAACGGCCUACCAAGGCUACGAUGGGUAGCCGGCCUGAGAGGGUGACCGGCCACACUGGAACUGAGACACGGUCCAGACUCCUACGGGAGGCAGCAGUGAGGAAUAUUGCGCAAUGGGCGAAAGCCUGACGCAGCGACGCCGCGUGGAGGAUGAAGGCCUUCGGGUCGUAAACUCCUGUCGAGGGGGACGAAAUGGUGCUCUGUUAAUAGCAGGGCGUCUUGACGGUACCCCUGGAGGAAGCCCCGGCUAACUCCGUGC
rnacentral:rRNA from 1 species